UAGCUAUUCCCUGCCAUCAUUUCUGCUUUCAGGCUUUGCUUGAUUUUAUGGCUCUCUCUGUGAAGAGUCUCAUCCUGCUCCCACCCCAAGCCCCAGUUUGGAUGGCUUUUUCCUGGAGGACCAGCCUCACCUUUUGGACCUGGAAGUCCUGGAGGGCCUAUGAUCCCACCUGGAUCUCCCUGUGAAAAACAAGGGUCAUCCAGGCAUCAUGUGGAAAUUAAGAGAAGGGCCAACAGACCCUGGAAAUCCUGGAAGUCCAGUUUCACCCUUUUAAGAUAAAGCAGAAGAGAGAUUUUUGCAGAUGGUUAGAGAAGUAUUAUUGUGACUGGCAGAUAGAGAAUGAUAUCUUGCUCUCCUUCUAACUAUGCAAUUUAUCUAUUAGCAUCCAACAGAGAAUGCAAAUUUCUGAAUUUACUUAGGCUAUUUGCAUGAUAAUGGGUUUGUCAGUACUUCACAUUGGCUUUAUGUCUCUCAGAAAUCCAUAUAUUUCAUUAUGAUAUUUAAAUUUAAUGUGAAACAAAGUUAAUUAUUUUUUCAGGAAAAAAAUAUCUAGAGGAGAAAAAUUUUAAUUUUGUUCUGACGUGCCAAAGCCAGUUUUUUUUGUGUGUGCUCUCAAAGACAUCAGACUGUUUAACUGACACAAUAAUCCAGACUCAUUUUAUUUCAGGCACUUUUUUCUUUGUUUAGGUGGGCAGAGUCAGUAGUCAUAUGAAGUAAAAUGAGUCUCUCAGCUGUUUCCAGCAUUUAUACUACUACUUAGAUGCUUGGCUAUGGACAAAUAAGUCAUUCUUGUAGAUGUGGUGACAGCAGUAGCUUAGAAAUGUCUAAGAGGUUCUGGUCAAAAAACCUGAAGAGAGAUUUGUUUGUGACAUAUAAAGAGGGUUUUUGGAAAAUACAAUUUGAGAAGUAAUACUUACAGAAAGGAGUUAUAUCACUAAUCAGACUUCAGAGGAGUCUCAGUACUGUGCAUCCUUUAGUGUUUACCAAGAUCCCUGAAUACCUACACAAUUCUUAAAUUAAAUAUAGUCUCUAGAAGAUAUGUAAUGCUGAUUUUUUCCCCAACCUCAACAGUAUUUUUGCAAAAUGAUGUUAACCAUUACAUUUCUAAACAUAUACCAUUUUGUUUACGUGGUCUAUUUUAUUUUGCUUUGAAACAAUAAACACAGAAAAUAUAAAAUAGAAUCCAUCGAGCCUUCAUGUAUCAGGUACUCAAAAUAAAAGAAAUUUAAAAAUUUACAAUCAAAGACAAAAUCCCCUAUAUGUCCUAUUUCUACCCAG